CUCUUAAUUUUUUUCAAGAAAAGAAGAAAUCAUAAUACAAUAAAGGAGAAUAUUGUGGAAUGCUUAUUUAGUAUACUUCUAGUAUUCCACAACCAAACAAAAGUUCAAAAAUAAAACAAUAACAGAAAGAAAAUUGUACCAAUAAAGAUGUAACAGCCCGAAAACCGAACUGCCACCGGCACUAGGAUCCAGAUCGACUUAAGGUCGCCGGGACCCGUAGUAAGCCUGCUAUCCUGUCUGUAUACCUGUGAAAUCCCAUACAUGAUCAUACAUUUGCUGUAAAAACAUAAAACUUUUCUUCAGUCCAAGGCUUAACCUGUGCAUGCACUCUCUCUGUGCUCUACUAAUCCCUACUAGAGCUCCUCAUGGCUCUAGGCGGAUCAAACUCAUAAUGUUAAGCCUGGUUGUGCUCAUAAACAUACAAGAAUAAAGAAAUAUACAUAAACUGAUCAUGUGACUCCACAAAGGGAUUACAAGUCUUAUAAAUCAAGCACCAUUCUAUACAUAUACACUGUCUCUAUACAAUUCCAUGUCCACACUAGCUAUUACAAAACUCUGUACUCUUCCUGUACCCUGCUGAGUUCUCUCUGACCUCUGAACCUGCACAACUGGAAUUAGGGGAGAGGGAUGAGCUACAAUAGCCCAGUGAGUAGAAUAGUAAAAUAAAAUCUGCGCCAGAACUGGAGCCACUACUCAUUCCCAGACCCGACUUAAGCCUGUUCCAGAACUUGCCUCUCUUUCCUCUGAAUUUCUCCCAUCUCUUCUUACUUGCACUUGUUGUACCCUGUGAGGAGGAACCUGGUUUAACACCAGAAGACUGUGCCUUGACUACACCUUGACUUAUGGCACUGGCCUCCAUCUUUCUAGCAGCAUCCACAAUAGCGUGGAAACUUUCCUUCUCCGCAUGAAGAAUCAAAGAGAAAUACCUGGGAUGAAGCCUUGUGGCAUAUCUCUUUGCCUUCUUCUGAUCUGUAUCAUAUGCUUGACCGACAUAUGGCAACAAUUCUAGGAACUUAUCUGUAUAUGCAUCAACACUCAUCUCCUCCGUCUGUCGCAACUGCUCAAACUCCACAACCUUGAGUUCCCUGGAACUGUCAGGAAAAGCCCAUCCAGCAAAUUCGUUGGCGAACUCUUCCCAUGUCAUACUCUCAAGUCUCGGGUCCACAUAGUUCUUGAACCAUUCUCUAGCUUUCUUGCACUUUAACGUGAACCCUGCCAUCUCAAUGGCUCUACCAUCAUCAGCUCCCAACUCACUUGUUAUCAUUCUUACUGCACUGAGAUACUCAAAGGGAUCAUCUCCUGUAUUGAAUUUCGGAGCAUCCAACUUUAAGUACUCGGUCAUCUUCACCUUACUUCUCCCUGAAGAACUGGGUUGCUGUGCUUCCACAACAGGGGCUACUGGUUCAGGAGGUGGUGGUGGAGGAACUGGUUCCCUCACUUCAGGGUGUACUGGACUUGGAUGAACAGGUGGGGGUGGAUACAUGUGAUAUGGUGGAUAAAAGGAAGGAUAGGGCAUAUAGGGCAUGUAGGGUGGAUAUGGGGCAAAGCUAGAGUAAUCCGACGUGCCUCUCAUCGGAUACUCUGGGCCCUGUGGAAAGGAUGGAUAGCCAAACCCCGAGGCCUGUACGCCUCCCUGGGACUCCCCCAUACCUUCUUCUGACCUUCCUACACCCAAGCUUACAUCUCUACUCUGCUCCUCUUCCAUCACACCUCUUUCUUCUACUGACCUUCCCCCUCUGCUUACUCCUCUCCUGCUCUCGUCAGAAGACCUUCUCGGGUCUCGUGACGUUCCUUCCCUGCUUGACCUGUGCGAUCUUGCCCUUGGCAAGGCAGGUGGACGAGCAGCUGUACCCUCACUUACAGGUGGGACUCCAGUCAAUCUCGCGGAUCGACGAGUUCCUCGCAUCUUCACUCUCUGAGAAAACAACAAAUCACAUAAUACAUAAGCAACACAUCAAAAACAUGCACAUGCAUAACUCAGGGCAUUGCACAUCAGCAUAACAUCCUAUCCUUGUGGACAUGUUUUUCCUAUGGUGCUUGACCUGCUAAACCUCUCUAUGAGCCCAACUCUCUCUCUAUAGGUCCGACCAUGUGAACCUAGGGCUCUGAUACCAAUCUGUAACAGCCCGAAAACCGAACUGCCACCGGCACUAGGAUCCAGAUCGACUUAAGGUCGCCGGGACCCGUAGUAAGCCUGCUAUCCUGUCUGUAUACCUGUGAAAUCCCAUACAUGAUCAUACAUUUGCUGUAAAAACAUAAAACUUUUCUUCAGUCCAAGGCUUAACCUGUGCAUGCACUCUCUCUGUGCUCUACUAAUCCCUACUAGAGCUCCUCAUGGCUCUAGGCGGAUCAAACUCAUAAUGUUAAGCCUGGUUGUGCUCAUAAACAUACAAGAAUAAAGAAAUAUACAUAAACUGAUCAUGUGACUCCACAAAGGGAUUACAAGUCUUAUAAAUCAAGCACCAUUCUAUACAUAUACACUGUCUCUAUACAAUUCCAUGUCCACACUAGCUAUUACAAAACUCUGUACUCUUCCUGUACCCUGCUGAGUUCUCUCUGACCUCUGAACCUGCACAACUGGAAUUAGGGGAGAGGGAUGAGCUACAAUAGCCCAGUGAGUAGAAUAGUAAAAUAACAGGUGAUAAAACAUGCUCUCAUGGAAUGCAACACAUAAUCACAUCACCUCGGCCGGACGGAUCAAAACUCCCUCUAUCUCAUCUGGGGUACCUCAGUACCAUGUGCCUGGUCCUCGUAGGGCUGUUCCAGGUCUUCCUCUGAGGGCUAAUGAAUCCUCACGAAGUCCGUGCCGUCUCACAUAAGCAAUGUACAAGGAGCAAUGCCAAGUACAAGGAUAAAUGCAAUGCAUCAUCUUUGUGUACACUAAUGCACUCACCCUAAAGCAUAUUCAUGAUGCAUGAAGCAUGAUAACAUAAUUCAGUUCUCAUAUUAAAACAUUAAGUUAAAUUCCACUCACCUUCCGUUAUCUCUGAACUGACUCUGCAGGUUCUGACACUGGACUCACUGCUGAUUUCCCUGAUUCCUCUGGUCCGUACCUACACAGGUGGACUCAAAUGAGGGACUAAACUCACGCAAGAACAUCUCUAAGAAACUCCCCAAAACCCCUCUAACCAAUCCUAACACCAUCACAUAAAACAUGCAAAAGAAAGCUGGACAGGGCACUUUCGGCGGCAGGUUCGGCGGCCGAAACCCCACUCCAGAGACGAAACUCAUGCAUGUUCGGCGGCACCUUCGGCGGCCGAAGGUCUCGUCCAGAGACGAAACUCACACACUUUCGGCGGCCGAACGCCCUCUUUCGGCGGCCGAAAGUCCCUUUCUAAACCGAAAGCCUAGCUUUCGGGGGCAACCUUUGGCAGCCGAACUGCCUCCACAAAGGGUUCGGCGGCCGAACCUUCCUUCAGCGGCCGAACCUGGUUUUACCCGAAGGGCAGAACCCUGCUCUGUUUCAUGCAACCUUUGCCCAAAAACCUACAAACAUGCAAAUCAACUACUCCCAACUAGCAUAUACACAUAUAUAUGCACAAAGGGGUCUAAACCUACCCUAAAACCCCAAACAAACAUAGCACAUAACACUUAAACAUGCUGGAACACCACAAAUCACCACAAACCUCACCUAAACCUAAACAUGCAAACUACCCAUACAAACUUCAUAAAACCUUUCAAAAUCAUCAAAGAAGCUCAGGAUCUUCACUUACCUCUUACACAACUUGAGGAUGAAGGAUCCUAACGUGGAGAUAUGAAGAACGGCUCUUCCAAAGCUCCAAGCUUCAAAACUUGUUUCUUUUGCUCAAAACCUUCAUAAGUCACCAAAACUCUUAAAACUCUUGAAAGAUUUGAUGAAAAUCAUGGAAAACAGGAAAGUCAACGUAGGAGAGGCUGAAACUCACCUCUGGCUGCAAGUGGAGGAGAAAUAACCUCCUUCCACCGACCCUUGGCCCUUUUUAUAGGUGGCUGGCCAGACCACCUUCGGUAGCCGAACGUGAAGCCGCAACCAUGCAAUGUUCGACGGCCUAAAGUGACCUUCGGCGGCCGAACCUUUGCAUUUCUCCCUUGUUGCUUUUCUUUCAAAACUCAAGUCUUUUACCAUGUCAAAACAUGAAAACAAGUGAAAAGACCUUGGAAAACAUAUGCAUUACCCUUCUCGAGGGUUCCGACACCCGAGAUUCCACCGGACGACAGGAAUUCCGAUGCCGGACUCGAGCCGGGUAUUACAAAAGAGCACUCUCACUGCCCAAGAACGAGUAAAACCCCAACUCCACAUAGAAAAUUACUUCAUUGAAAACAGUAGAAUAAAAACAACAAAUAAAUUCUAAUUAAAUGUGAAUUACUAAUAGUAGGUAACCUUUUAUACUUUAAUUGGAAUAUACUGUAUAAUUUUGGUAGGCC
rnacentral:lncRNA from 1 species